UACGGAGGAUGCAAGCGUUAUCCGGAAUGAUUGGGCGUAAAGCGUCCGCAGGUGGCUAUGUAAGUCUGCUGUUAAAGAGUGAGGCUCAACCUCAUAAGAGCAGUGGAAACUACAUGGCUAGAGUGCGUUCGGGGCAGAGGGAAUUCCUGGUGUAGCGGUGAAGUGCGUAGAGAUCAGGAAGAACACCGGUGGCGAAAGCGCUCUGCUAGGCCGCAACUGACACUGAGGGACGAAAGCUAGGGGAGCGAAUGGG
rnacentral:rRNA from 1 species